rnacentral:tRNA from 1 species
UGGCUCUGUUGGUAGAGCAUGGUGUUUGCAAUGCCAGGGUUGUGGGUUCAAAUCCCAU